GAUGAACGCUGGCGGCGUGCCUAAUACAUGCAAGUCGAACGAACGGGCGAGAAGUUUGUUUCUUGGAUGUUUGGCGCACAGGUGAGUGACACGUGUGUAACCUCCCCCUAUCAGACGGGUAACACUUCGGAACACCGGCUCUUAUCGCAUAUGAGAUUUUGAAGCAUGUGGUUCAAUGGAGAGAUACGGUCUUGGGGUCACGAAUAGAGGCUUCUGCGCUUGAUUGGGUAGUUGGUAAGGUAACGGCUUAUGAAGGCAAGGAUGCAUAGCCGAGCGGAGAGGGGGAUCGCCCACACUGGAACUGGGACACGGUCCAGACUCCUACGGGAGGCAGCAGUAGGGAAUCUUCGGCAAUGGGCGAAAGCCUGACGGAGCAACGCGGCGUGAGUGAUGAAGUUCUUCGGUUCGUAAAACCCUGUUAUUGGGGAAAAACAGAUUUGGAAGGAAAUGUGCACAGCGUGACGGUACCUAAUCAGAAAGCCACGGCUAACUACGUG
rnacentral:rRNA from 1 species